rnacentral:ncRNA from 23 species
GGGGAAGCCGGUGCGAAUCCGGCGCUGACCCGCAACCGUGAGCCGUCGGGGAGACGGUGAGCCGGACUGCCC